UACAUAGGGGGCAAGCGUUAUCCGGAAUUAUUGGGCGUAAAGGGUGCGUAGGCGGCUGAUUAAGUCUGGUGUGAAAUUUCACGGCUUAACCGUGAAGGGUCAUUGGAAACUGAUUGGCUUGAAUACAGAAGAGGUAAGUGGAAUUCCAUGUGUAGCGGUAAAAUGCUUAGAUAUAUGGAGGAACACCAGUGGCGAAGGCGGCUUACUGGUCUGUCAUUGACGCUGAUGCACGAAAGCGUGGGUAGCAAACAGGAUUAGAUACC
rnacentral:rRNA from 1 species